GCUCUGCAAACAGGCGAUCGUAAAUCUCCACGAAUGGUUAUUUUACAACUGGUGCAAUAAGAUUUCUACAAGACUUUGAGGUGCUACUUAACUAUAAAGCGAAGCCACUUUAGUUCACUUACCCGUGCUUACAUGGACUUUUUUCAUCCAGGGGUAAACUACCGGCUCUUUGCAAGAGGAAUUGGAAGGGCUUUGGUUCAGAGAGUUUUGGCUGCAGGAGGGUGGCGGGCUGGGGGUGACCGGCUCGCGGGGCUGGUUUGGCUCCGAGAGGUGGCUCUGCAAUCCGGCCGGAGGAUGGACAUGACCCCGGGGGGAUAACACCGCUGCUUGGUGGCCGGAGCUCUGACAGGACGAGUAGAGCUGCUCCUUGCAGGCUGACCGCGGCUGGUACAUCGCUUCAUGGUGGAAAGGGCUCUCUCGCCUCUGGCUGCCGUAAUAUUCCGGCGAGUGAUUGGGAAGCUCCAGAAGAACUAAUUGUCCCGUGCCUGAUGCGUGGCAUUAAAGUGAGAGAAGCGAUGAAAAAUGCCGAGGAAAAUCCCCGCCUACCUGCACGAGUUUCCCUUUGUGUAUGGAACGGACCCAAACUUACGUAGAUCUGCUUUAUUGGCAUGUGAGGGGGAAAAGAAAAAAAAAGUGAGAUUGAAAGGGAACGAUGACUAGAGAAGAAGGAGAAAAAAAAAAAAAAAAGGAGAAAAGCUCUGCUGAGAGCCUGAAGUUUCCUGCUUUGCAGGAGCCGAACAGCUCCCACAUCUGAUUAGAGAGUUACGCAAUAUUUGUAGCUCUGCAAACCCGGCGAUUAUCUGGCAGGAGCAGCCCCGCAUGCAAAUUUUUUGGGCAAAGAAAUGGGAUGUCCCGAUAGCUCGACGCAAGCUCAGUUCCGAGGACUGGCGCGAGCUGCCCUCGCCGAAGAAACCACCCACGUAAUAACGACCCUGGAGAGCAACGCAAAACCCAACUGGCUUCCACGCAAACUUCGCCAAAUUACUGGGCUCGCCUCACGACAGGCAAAACUGGCAAGAGAUUCUGCGAGGGGGAACAAAAUAAAACGCGACAACUGCCCACAAAGGGUUUGGUAUUUUUUUAAAGGCGCUCUCUAAAAGCCUCCGUCACCGAGCUGCUGCAAAGCCCUUCAGUCCAAGUCUACUGUCUCCAGGUGACCUCACAGGCUUCAUUUUUAUCCUCCCCAGACCGUUAUUUCAGUCUUCUUUCUCUUUCUUAUUUCCCUUCUUGCAUUUCCCCCCUCUGCUCCCGCCUCUUUUCCGUUCUUUCUCGUAUUUUCCUAUUUUCUUUCGCUGUUUCUUUCUCUCCUUCUCUCCGUUUCUUUCUCUCCCCUUUCUUCCAUUCUCCUUUCUCUCCCCCUUCCCUCUCUCCCUCACCUUUACGUUACACAUUUUCCGGGGAAAAACGGCGCUCAAACAGAUUUCCACCAGCCCAAAUUUCUUCCAGUGCCUCCCUUCUUCAUCACCCCACCCUUUUCUUUCUCUCCCCCCCCCUCCCCGGGCAGA